rnacentral:rRNA from 1 species
AUUGAACGCUGGCGGCAGGCUUAACACAUGCAAGUCGAGCGGGGGAGGUUGCUUCGGUAACUGACCUAGCGGCGGACGGGUGAGUAAUGCUUAGGAAUCUGCCUAUUAGUGGGGGACAACAUUCCGAAAGGGAUGCUAAUACCGCAUACGCCCUACGGGGGAAAGCAGGGGAUCUUCGGACCUUGCGCUAAUGGAUGAGCCUAAGUCGGAUUAGCUAGUUGGUGGGGUAAAGGCCUACCAAGGCGACGAUCUGUAGCGGGUCUGAGAGGAUGAUCCGCCACACUGGGACUGAGACACAGCCCAGACUCCUACGGGAGGCAGCAGUGGGGAAUAUUGGACAAUGGGCGGAAGCCUGAUCCAGCCAUGCCGCGUGUGUGAAGAAGGCCUUUUGGUUGUAAAGCACUUUAAGCGAGGAGGAGGCUCUUAAGGUUAAUACCCUUGAUGAGUGGACGUUACUCGCAGAAUAAGUACCGGCUAACUCUGUGCCAGCCGCCGCGGUAACAC